UACGGAGGGUGCAAGCGUUAUCCGGAAUCAUUGGGUUUAAAGGGUCCGCAGGCGGAUUUAUAAGUCAGUGGUGAAAGCCCGUCGCUCAACGACGGAACUGCCAUUGAUACUGUAAGUCUUGAAUUCGGUCGAAGUGGGCGGAAUAUGACAUGUAGCGGUGAAAUGCUUAGAUAUGUCAUAGAACACCGAUAGCGAAGGCAGCUCACUAGGCCUGGAUUGACGCUCAGGGACGAAAGCGUGGGGAGCAAACAGG
rnacentral:rRNA from 2 species